AACCACUUGUGCAGGAAAAGGCUGCCACCGGAGUCUAAUCGUUGGGCUUCUUUCGGAUCCUUCUAUCUCACUCGCGUAUUUCGAAAUUUUACGCUGGCCGUCAACGACUCCCUGACGUGAUAUGAACAUUACCAUGAUGGCAUGAAUACAGUCAUGAGAUCUCGAGAUGACUGUCUUUGACGCGUCUUUGAAGUAGUAUUUUAGUACAAAAUAGUAGUUUGAUGAGCAGACGCUUCGACGCGACGCGCGCACGCCGCGCAGCCGCUAGCCUGCCAUCAAUCAUGCUACCAUAUCAAUGAUUAGAUGGCGAAGGCAGGUCUUCGCCCAAGCGCCAAGCGGCCCUAGCUAGCUAGCCUAUAGCCCUAGCCAGGCCUAGGCUAUACUGGCUAUCCUAGGCCUGGCCAGUAUAAAUACGGAUGAUAGCAGUUAGUAGGAGAGGGGUCGGCUGAAGAUUCACCAUUAUCACAGAACUCGCACAAUGAAAGUCUCCCUGAGUGUUACCUACAGGGUGUGUAGGUAGGACAUGGUGCAGUGGGUUAACAGGGGUUCCGAACACCCUGCCAUGGCCAGAGCCUACUUGCCUCCGGCUCCCAUGCAGCAGCCGUAUGGGUUGCUGCACUUUUU